UAAAUGAGAAGAUUUGAGCAAGAAACCUUAAAGCCCCAAUUUUUUUUUCUUCUUCUUCUUCUUCUUCUUCUUCUUCUUCUUCUUCUUUCUUUCUUUCCCUGAUCAUCCACGUAGCUGCCUUCUCUGGUUCCUUAAGAACGAAGGCAGAGAGGCUUAAAUGGUGGGAUUUGUAUUUUUGUGCAUUUUGCAGUUUAGUCUUUGUAUUAUUAUAUUUACG
rnacentral:lncRNA from 1 species